UUAAAUUGAAGAGUUUGAUCAUGGCUCAGAUUGAACGCUGGCGGCAGGCCUAACACAUGCAAGUCGAACGGUAACAGGAAGCAGCUUGCUGCUUUGCUGACGAGUGGCGGACGGGUGAGUAAUGUCUGGGAAACUGCCUGAUGGAGGGGGAUAACUACUGGAAACGGUGGCUAAUACCGCAUAACGUCGCAAGACCAAAGAGGGGGACCUUCGGGCCUCUUGCCAUCAGAUGUGCCCAGAUGGGAUUAGCUUGUUGGUGAGGUAACGGCUCACCAAGGCGACGAUCCCUAGCUGGUCUGAGAGGAUGACCAGCCACACUGGAACUGAGACACGGUCCAGACUCCUACGGGAGGCAGCAGUGGGGAAUAUUGCACAAUGGGCGCAAGCCUGAUGCAGCCAUGCCGCGUGUAUGAAGAAGGCCUUCGGGUUGUAAAGUACUUUCAGCGGGGAGGAAGGUGUUGCGGUUAAUAACCGCAGCAAUUGACGUUACCCGCAGAAGAAGCACCGGCUAACUCCGUGCCAGCAGCCGCGGUAAUACGGAGGGUGCAAGCGUUAAUCGGAAUUACUGGGCGUAAAGCGCACGCAGGCGGUCUGUCAAGUCGGAUGUGAAAUCCCCGGGCUCAACCUGGGAACUGCAUUCGAAACUGGCAGGCUUGAGUCUUGUAGAGGGGGGUAGAAUUCCAGGUGUAGCGGUGAAAUGCGUAGAGAUCUGGAGGAAUACCGGUGGCGAAGGCGGCCCCCUGGACAAAGACUGACGCUCAGGUGCGAAAGCGUGGGGAGCAAACAGGAUUAGAUACCCUGGUAGUCCACGCCGUAAACGAUGUCUACUUGGAGGUUGUGCCCUUGAGGCGUGGCUUCCGGAGCUAACGCGUUAAGUAGACCGCCUGGGGAGUACGGCCGCAAGGUUAAAACUCAAAUGAAUUGACGGGGGCCCGCACAAGCGGUGGAGCAUGUGGUUUAAUUCGAUGCAACGCGAAGAACCUUACCUGGUCUUGACAUCCACAGAAGAAUCCAGAGAUGGAUUUGUGCCUUCGGGAACUGUGAGACAGGUGCUGCAUGGCUGUCGUCAGCUCGUGUUGUGAAAUGUUGGGUUAAGUCCCGCAACGAGCGCAACCCUUAUCCUUUGUUGCCAGCGAUUAGGUCGGGAACUCAAAGGAGACUGCCAGUGAUAAACUGGAGGAAGGUGGGGAUGACGUCAAGUCAUCAUGGCCCUUACGACCAGGGCUACACACGUGCUACAAUGGCGCAUACAAAGAGAAGCGACCUCGCGAGAGCAAGCGGACCUCAUAAAGUGCGUCGUAGUCCGGAUUGGAGUCUGCAACUCGACUCCAUGAAGUCGGAAUCGCUAGUAAUCGUGGAUCAGAAUGCCACGGUGAAUACGUUCCCGGGCCUUGUACACACCGCCCGUCACACCAUGGGAGUGGGUUGCAAAAGAAGUAGGUAGCUUAACCUUCGGGAGGGCGCUUACCACUUUGUGAUUCAUGACUGGGGUGAAGUCGUAACAAGGUAACCGUAGGGGAACCUGCGGUUGGAUCACCUCCUUACCUUAAAGAAGC
rnacentral:rRNA from 5 species